UACGUAGGGUGCGAGCGUUAAUCGGAAUUACUGGGCGUAAAGCGUGCGCAGGCGGCGCGUUAAGACAGGUGUGAAAGCCCCGAGCUUAACUUGGGAAUUGCGCUUGUGACUGGCGAGCUGGAGUGUGGCAGAGGGAGGUGGAAUUCCACGUGUAGCAGUGAAAUGCGUAGAGAUGUGGAGGAACACCGAUGGCGAAGGCAGCCUCCUGGGCCAGCACUGACGCUCAUGCACGAAAGCGUGGGGAGCGAACAGG
rnacentral:rRNA from 1 species